rnacentral:lncRNA from 1 species
AAAAUAUGCAUAUUGUGUUCUUUCAAUCUCAUAUGACAAACGUAAUCUUCUACCAAGUUGGGUGGCAUUAACUUCCUUAAAUACACAUACCUUGUUUAGUUAGAAAGCAUAGAGAGGUUACAUCUAUUUCUGCUCCCCCUAGUGCUAUUCUGUCUUAAAUGACUUGGACUCCUUCCUCAUUUGGCUAUUAAGGAAGUUGAUUGGGCAACUCAUAAGUUUUAAUCAAAAAUCAUAAACAGAUAAAUGAGAUCCCUAUAAACUAGGGCAACCCACUCACAAUCUACAAUAUAGACAUGCUGCAUGUGCUUAUGUAAAGAGCGCUUUCAAAUCCAUGGUAAACAAAGUCCACGCUUGGCUAGCCCAGCUCAGAAAUACAGAAUCCAAUACUGCAGCAUAAAAUAAAGCUGUAUUUUUAACAUAAACUGAACUGUUUUUUACAGUUCUAAAUGCAUAAAUGUACCUUACGGCAACAAUAUCUUUCCAAGGAAGAAUUUCCAGAUUGAAGUUGAAGUUGUUCAUACUUAUAUUUUCAUUUCUAAAAAUGCUCUGGUGAUGGUCUAUACAACUUGCCACAACCUUUGUGAAUAUUCACAAUUAAUUAUUUUAUUUACAAACACGUUUUUUCAUACUUCAUGUUAAGAAGUCUUUAUCUCUUCAUCCUAGGCACAGGAGGAAGAAGAGAAUACAAAUAACUGAUCAGAGGAAUAAAAAGUCUCUGCUUACUCUGAAGGGUCCAGUACAAAAAGAAUGUAACAGGAAGCAUGUGACGUCUUACAUUUGGUUCCACAAAAGCUUGGCCAUGUACCUCCUAUCGCCACAGGGCAUUGCCUUGAAGAGGCUCCAUUCCAGUGAGACACACCUGGGUUGA